rnacentral:ncRNA from 20 species
UUCUUAUCGAGAGAAGCUAAGGGACCUGGCCUGUUGACGCUUCAGCAACCUCUAUCUCCAUUAGAAAGGUGCUACCUCCAGCAAGAUGUAUGUCUUGAAAGAUAAGAG